rnacentral:rRNA from 1 species
UACAGAGGUCUCAAGCGUUGUUCGGAUUCAUUGGGCGUAAAGGGUGCGUAGGCGGCGUUGUAAGUCGGGUGUGAAAUUUCGGAGCUUAACUCCGAAACUGCAUUCGAUACUGCGGUGCUUGAGGACUGGAGAGGAGACUGGAAUUCAUGGUGUAGCAGUGAAAUGCGUAGAGAUCAUGAGGAAGACCAGUGGCGAAGGCGGGUCUCUGGACAGUUCCUGACACUGAGACACGAAGGUCAGGGGAGCAAACGGG